rnacentral:rRNA from 1 species
UACGAAGGGAACUAGCGUUGUUCGGAAUCACUGGGCGUAAAGCGCGCGCAGGCGGUCCUUUAAGUCUGAUGUGAAAGCCCACGGCUCAACCGUGGAGGGUCAUUGGAAACUGGGGGACUUGAGUGCAGGAGAGAAGAGUGGAAUUCCACGUGUAGCGGUGAAAUGCGUAGAGAUGUGGAGGAACACCAGUGGCGAAGGCGACUCUUUGGCCUGUAACUGACGCUGAGGCGCGAAAGCGUGGGGAGCAAACGGG